rnacentral:rRNA from 1 species
UGAGGAAUAUUGGUCAAUGGAGGCAACUCUGAACCAGCCAAGUCGCGUGAAGGAUGAAGGUCUUAUGGAUUGUAAACUUCUUUUAUACAGGAAUAAAUUGGGGGACGUGUCCCCCUUUGCAUGUACUGUAUGAAUAAGGAUCGGCUAACUCCGUGCCAGCAGCCGCGGUAAUACGGAGGAUCCGAGCGUUAUCCGGAUUUAUUGGGUUUAAAGGGUGCGCAGGCGGGAUGUUAAGUCGGCGGUGAAAUUUUGCAGCUCAACUGUAAAGGUGCCUUCGAUACUGGCUUCCUUGAGUGUGGAUGAAGUAGGCGGAAUUUGUGGUGUAGCGGUGAAAUGCUUAGAUAUCACGAGGAACUCCGAUUGCGCAGGCAGCUUACUAAGCCACUACUGACGCUCAUGCACGAAGGCGUGGGGAUCAAACA